UUUACUUAAAGAUGGAAAAUAAAAGAGAGAGACAGGUCUCUUUUGACUUUUCAACAUCUUACUGCCAUGUGACAUUAUAUUCUACCCACAUGUAAAAGGGCGUGGUUCACCAACA